UAUUUUUAUUGAUGAGUACAAUAAAUUCUGAUUCUUAUUUCUCCACCUUUAUGAAUUCUUCAAUAUGCGCAUGUUCCUUUUUUUUUUCUUGGUAAUUAGUUGAUGUGCUCUCACUCCAAUGAAUUUGUUCUCACUUUCUUGCGAAUACUGAUGACUGAAUUUGGGAUCUCUUGACAACUGAAUCGGGGAAUGUUGCUUUCUAUUCCCUUUUUCUUGUUUCUUGUUAGUUGAUAAAUAGUUUAUGUGCUCUCUACAUAUCAUGAUUAUUAUAUUGGCAACACAAGUUUUAAUCUUUCCACUUCAUUGCAUUCUUGGAUCUUGAUAUCUGAAUUUGGGCAUGUUCUUUUUUCUUUUAUUCUGUUUAAUGCUUUUUUGGUGGGUUUGCAUGUUGGUUCUAAUUAGUUGAUAAAUUGUUCAUGUCCUUUCUUCGUAUCAUGAUUCUUGACAACGAUAUUGAUAUUUGGUACCAAUUUGUUGAGAACACUUUUUACUUUCAUGUUGGUCUAACUAUAUAUAUAUUGAGAUUACUUCUUACUUUCAACAAUUUCCAUGUUUAUUGUCUAGUUCUUGGAAGAAUUUUGAAUCUUGUGGUUUUGACUAGAAUGUAUCAAAAUGUCAAUCUUUGGUCUUAAUCAUGGCCAUGUGAGAGUUGCAAUUAUAGAAUUGCCAGCAUAGGAAAAAGACAUUCUUUUUUAAAUAGACUUAAAAGGAAAGUAAGACAAAUAUUCUGUGGACGUAUUAUUCUGCAAUGCUAAUAAUAUUCUUAUUAGACUGCUCUUGGAAAAGAAAAACUAUCCUUAGACUUCUAAUGAUAGAAGUUUUAUAGCUUUGGUGCCAUCUUUCGAAGUCCUAGCGACUUAAAUGUUAUUGCUACCUAGAUAUGUACAUAUCUUCCUCUAAUUAAUUUGAUUAAACAAAUUCUUUGGUUUAUGUCCAAAUACAUUCAGAAGAAAGACUAAGCUAUUGAACUGAAAUGAUCUACGAACACUCUCUGAAGAUGUUAUUUCCAUAAGUUCUCUGCCAAAUGGAUUAAGUACAACUUUCUUUCUCAUGUGUGGUCCAGGUGAGGAGUGGCAUAUAUGAAGUUACAUGAUGUUCCGGGAUGCCUCAUUACUAUUGCUAUAAAUGUUAUGCACCUUGAAAGACAAUUUUAUUUAUUACCUUUAUUAUGUUGUAAUUGUUGAUGCUUUCGUCAAGGUGAUAUAACUGCGUCUAGUUGCUGUCCUGUCUUUAUGUUUGUUUGGUGUUACUGCAUCAAGUUUCAGUAUUUCUUCAAUAAGAUAUAAACAUCAAUAUAGUUGUCCAAGUUCCAAACAAACAAAGUAUCAUAGCUUCUCUUUUAUUGUUAAACUCAUACUGUUUCUUUUUAACGUGAAAACAAAAGUUGUAGGCUAUUAUGAAAUUUUUUCUACUGCCGUUGGUUGCAGGUUCCUAACAACCCUGCUAUGGUCACACGAAACUCCUCGUUGAUAAUUCAACAUUCAUCACUAAGUCAAUAUAUGUUGCCACCGAAAUACGAACCUACAAGUGAUAUACCAAAGUUCCCCUUUUUCAUGGAUGAAGAAAACGCUUCUGGCGUACUAAGGACAGAAGUCAUCAUCAUUUCAAGGAAAAUACAAGGGACUGGGUUUGUUGUCCUACCGCUAAAGAAUUUCCACUGGGGGCUGAUUCAUCUAUGGAACAGACCGGAUGCCUUUAAUGCAGGAAUGUAUGCUAAUCUGGUCAAACAAACAUAUCUCUGGGCUCAUCCACUUAACAAACAUUAGAAAAGAAAUAUGAUGUUAAUACACGGCCAAUGAACCUUUGUUGUGGUCCAGGGAUGAUAAUGUCUCAGACUCCUCCGUAUUUGGAUCUCUAAAAGCUCCUUCAUUUGGUGUUUUAAGAAGCGCACACUUUGGCACCCAAAGAUUUGUAAUUCCUAUUCCUUUGGACAACCAGCAGUACCCAUGUCGUGGAGCAAAAGUUCACUUUUUUGUCCAUUUUCUCAUGUAUUGGAGCAGAUUAUUCAACAUUUUUGGGGAACAUUUUCUUCUGCAAUCUAGAUGAUCCUAUUGAUAUAAAAUUAUAUACCAUUCAGUGUGCAUUACUAUAUGCUCUAUAUUGAGCUGAAAUCCAUGUUGAGCUUUUGUUUUGUUAUUACUAAGUACUAUUUUGUUCCUACUUCAUAUUUCUGGAUAUCCUAAUGUACAAUCUUAGAUCAAAUUUGCAACUAGGUAAAGAAAGUACAACACCUUUACUCAAGAGCUUAGGUUUUGGAAAAUCUGCAUUCGGUAUCACUCGGAAAGGAAGUAGAACAGCAACUCCAAAGGAAGAUAACACACGACCCGGUGGUGAAAACUUUCAAUCCAUUUGCGGAUUGGAGACUUGUAAAGAUAAAAUCCAGGAGGAGUUUUGAGGUUUGAGGACAACCAGUUAGGCAAUAAAGGUCAGAAAUGUGGUUCUUCAGUUGGUGUUUCCGCCACAGGGAUCUGGUGUCAUCGACAACACGAGGCCUUUCAUAUCACCAUAUUUAACCAAUGGACUGUUGACCAACCUUCUUAUUCCCAUUUUUCAAGUACAUUUCCUGGGGAAAGAGCAGGGGUUGAUUAUUCAAACGAAAAUUUACAGAAACUGCAGUUACCCCAUUUCCGAAGUCACAACAGUUUCCCCCAACACAUCAUUGAUGAUUGGCACUGGAAGUAGAGUGGAAUAUACUGCCCCAGAUGUUUCUUUUUCUCUGUGGAACCACUCAAGGCUGUUUGCACCUUAAAAAACCAGCUUCCAAAUCUUCCACUACCUCCACCUUUUAUCAAUAUCUGCCACUCUAUCACUUGUCCAAUCUCCACUAUCUCACCUUCCACAUAUCCUUUGUUAGCAAAGCCAUCAGGCCAUGAUUUUGAUCAAAAGAACCCUUUUCUCCCACUCCUUUUUAAACUACAGGAGGCACUUCACAGUCCACAUUAUGCUUGAAUUUCCUAAAGCAGUCACAGCCUACAGCCUCCCCCCCCCCUCCCCCCCCCCCCAGGACUUCUUAAUAUUUCAAACACGCCACUUGCUGCGAGUAAAAUUCUGGAAGUGUUUCUGAAUAUAUAUGGAAUUAGAUCUCACUAAUAACUCUCUGGCAUUUGCUUUCUGUCAUAAAUAAUAUGAAAGGCACCUUGUGGUCUAUAAAAUCUGUGAAGCGCUUCUAUUGUGGUGUUGUACAUCUAAGUUGUUGCUACUCUUGCAGCCUCGGUUCUUUUGUCCUCUGCAGCCAGAAAUGACUCCUAAAGUUGGAGCAACACUUCUCACUCAUCAACAGGUACACAUGAACUUCUAUUUUUUUUGUUUUUAGUAUUCUCUCCAGUAUAACUUAAAAUUGCAAUCAAACAUGUUUUCUCUUGAGAUGAAAACUGGUUCUUGGCAUGGCACCUCAAGUGGGUAUAUGAGAUUUAGGAGAAACUUUCUCUGUCUUAUAAGACUAACUUAUGCUUGCAGCCAUGAAAUAUUUCAAUGGUUUUCAGUUGAUUUGUCUUUUGUCCUGGCAAAGUUCAAUUUCCUUCUCCGCCCCAAACCAACCUCUUGGCGGAAAUACUCAUGACCUUCCUCUUUUCUUAGUCUAUUACUAUUUCAUCUCCAUUUAUAAACCAUUAGGAUGUGGAGAUUUUGUCUUCCGUGGAAAUUCCAAACAGAACUUGUUUUUCUCUUGAGCCUGAUUAGACUAUUGCUUGCCCAGCACCUCAAGUAGGUCUACAAGAUUCUGGAAUUUAAUUUCAUUUCAUGGUGUUUCUUCUCCAUCUCAUACGGCUAACCGAUGCUUAUAGGCACGUUAGAUUUCAAUGCUUUUUAGCUAAUUGUGUUUUGGCUUCACGAAGUUCAAUUUUUUUCCUCACCAAACCAACCUUUUGGUGAAAUUCUACAUGACCUUCCAUUUUUCUUUUUUUAGUUCUCUCUCCGGUAUAACUCCAAAAUGACAAUCUAACAUGUUCUCUCUUGAUCUGGAAAACUGUUGCUUGACAUGACAUCUCAUGUUCGUCUGAGAAUUUGGAGAAAGUUCCAUUUGAUGGUGUUUUUCUCUAUCAGACAAGACUAACUAAUGCUUGCUGCCAUGACAGGUUUCUAAACUUUUGAGCUCUUUCGUGUUUAAUUUUGACUUUUUAAAGUUUAGUUUCUUUCCCAGCCCUCACCGAACCACCUUUUUCGUGAUAUUACACAUGCGCUCCCUCUUUUGUUAUUCUUAGUACUCGCUCUGCUCUAUUUCAUACACAAUGAAAAUUUGGAGCUUUUCGAUAUCAGUUGGCAUGAAAAUUUGGAGCUUUGCAAAGUGUAGUUUCCUUUACCCCCUCACUAAACCACCUUUUUCAUGAAAUUUCACAUGAACACACUCUUUUCUUAUUCUUAUUACUCUCUCUGCUCUAUUCUAUAAACCAUAAGAUGUUGAGGUUUUGUCUUCUGUUGAAAUUAAAUAAAACUCGUAUUUUCUCGAACUGAAAUUAUUGCUUGGCAUGGCACCUCAGGCGGGUCUGUGAGAUUUUGGAAUAAUUUUCCAUUUCAUGGUGUUUCUUUUAACUUUGCACUGUGUCCUUUUAUCUGCUAUUUUUUUUUUCGCGGUCUCCAUCUUUGUACCUUGAUCUGCUGAACUUGAGCAGAGAAUCUUUCGGAAACAACCUCUUUCCCCUCCUCAAACUCCACUUGUGGGAUUUCACUGGGUAUGUUGUUGUUCUUGUUAGUAUGAUGCUCCAUUAUAGUAUCAUAAUAUUUUUUUAAUGAAUAAUCUUACAUCACAGUUCUUAUUUUUUUCCAUGAGAUGUACUUCCUUAUAGAACUGUUCUUUUAUGUUUGUUAUUCUUCUAAGUUGUUGUGUCUUUCUAGUUUGAACUUUAGCCUAGUUUGCACCAGGUAUCUGAUGCUAUAGGCAUUAGGACCUGCUACGUUAAGAUGGAUGACCGAUGACAAUUGUAAGUAUAAUAGUUUCUUUUAUUUUCACUUUCAGUUACCUUUACUUAAAAAAAUGUAUUAGUUUCUUUGACAUUGAUCUAAUGCAUUUUGAUGUGCAGAAAGAUCUGCUCAAUUUAUUAUUUUACUUCAUCACCUAAAGUUGUACUUUCAAAGAAAGGAUCCAGUGUCUCACGAGAUGUACUGGUGCUGAUGGAGAAAGAUAUGUUCGUCUUUUUGCAAAAUGUUGGACUGAUAAGUUAAAUUUCUACACUUCGUUUCCCUAACAACCACUGCUUAACUUGCAGGUCCUUCAAUAUUUCUGCAUCCAUUUAUUUCAGUUUAUUUUCCUGACCAAAGAAAACGGAGAACUGGUCUUUGGUUAACAUUUACUAUAUCGGGUGUUUUUUUUAAUGAUGUUUUUGUUUCUUGACCUUUGUGGUGCAGAUCUCAAUGUAAGAUUUGUUUCCAGAGGACCUAUACAUGUAUUAGUACUUAAUAUCAUAAUAAUGAGUUUUGACAGUGCUUCUGACAUUGUGCAGCGAAGUAGAUCUCAGAUAUAUCCACUGUUAUUGUUAAACCUAAACCGUCAAAUAUCUUUAUAUGAUUUGACUUUUGGAGCCUUCAAUGACCUCCACUGUGGAAUUUAAGGUGAGAUUUUUUAUGGCAUUUAUUGUUUAGUUGUUUUGGGGUUGGGAACGAGUGAGUUAUUGAGAAUUGGUUUGGAUUGUUUUCUGUCAAUUUUUUUUUUAAAAACGCCUAUUCAUUUUUUAAACUUUAAUGUGAGUUAAAUAAAUAGGUGAAAACUGGCUAAACAUCAUUAAUUAUUACUAAUCGUAUAGAAUUUUAAAGUAUUAAAAAGGACCCCCUAACAAGCAAGGCCCUUGCAUCACAGCUGUUCCUGAAGAACAAAAUAAUCUCCCAUUUGUUAUGGGAGAACAUUGCCAAACCAUGUUUCUGGCUUCUUUUGGUUGCUGAAACAUACAGGCUAAUGUUAAAAGGGACAUGUCAUACAUAUUUGUUUCUCGAUUUGAGUGCUGUAUUUUUUAUUAUAAUGUUUUUGCGGUUUCUAAGACUGACGUUUUGUCCUGUUUGAACUUAGUCUCCUGGUUUUUGCUUACCCAAUCAUUUCUAUUUCCCUUUAAAUGGAUUUUGCAGUUCUCAAAAUUUUCGUCAAUUUUUCAUAUAUCUAGAUAUUCGUUACAUCAAACUUUUUGGAGCCUUGCUUAUCUUUAGGAGAUGGUGACAUCCAGCUUCAUAUUGAGUUUUUGAUUUUUUACCAAGUAGUAUUUUUAAAAAAUUAUAUGGUUGUUUGUUGCUUCUCUAUGAUUUCUUGAAACUCCAAAUAGAAAUUUAUUGCAUACAUCGGUAAUUCUUGUUAAUAAGUUUGUGUUGUUUUUGUCACUGCACCACUAGAAGAAUAUUUGUCGUGGGAUGUAUAUUUAUCCUAUAGGUAUCAAUUUUGGGUUGUACUAGCCCCAAGGCUUUGGUCAGUGAUGAGGACUCAAAAUGGGAUUGUACAGGGAACAUGUCCCAAGUUUGAACCCUAUCAUUGACAAUGAGCUUGAUAUUUAAGUGGGAUCAAGGCAGAGAGGUUGCUUAUAAUCUCAGCAGUCUCAAAUUUGUAGGUCAAUUUUUUUUUUUUGAGAAGGAUUUGUAGGUCAAUGUAAGCCAUCUAUUUAACGAGACAAUUAUGUUAUUCAGAAAAAAAGAAGAAGUUGAGCUUUAAUAUGACAGAGACAAGUAUUAGAUAAGUAAUAUGAAUGUUGAAGAGAAGCUUAUGGCAACUAGUUGAUUCUUAAUGUUACUUGUAGGACUGGGGCCAUCUUUCUCUUUAUUGAGGAUAUUGUUUCGAAUCUGUGGACUGGAAGUAAUUCCCGGUGAGAGAAAUUGUGCCCGACAUUCUUGUGCAUCAUCACUUAGGAUUCAUUGUUUGUUAUUUGUACUUGUGGCUUUGUUCACUCCACAUUCCCAUCCCUGUAUGCUGUAGCCCCCAAUCUGCCUCCCUAGGAGAGGGGGAGGAAACAAAUUGUGGAAGGUUGGUUAGUUAGUGAAAGAUAGAAUUACUUAUGCAUCAGAUGGUGCAAUGCAUUUCAAUGUUAUGCCAUCGUGUAGUUUUAUCACCUUCUUUUCUCGUUAGUUACUUCAGGAAAACCUAAAUAAGAAUUUACUUGUGAAGUAUCCUCUUCAUCUAUUGUUAUCGCAUUCCCUGACCCUCUUUUCAGAUUAUACCUGUGAAUUAUGAGAUCAGGUAAAAGAGGUGCAACCCCAGAGAUACAAAGCGACACUUGAACUUCCUUCCCGGCAGCCAAAGAAACUGACUGGAAAGUGCACUGUCUGAAGAGAGAUUCGAUCUUAACAGAAUAUUCUGUGGGAAGUGCUUCUGAUUACGCAAGCUCCUCCAGAUUCAUCCCAAGCUGCUAUAUGACAGCUCUAAAGGUGAGAAGUUUGCAGACCGUUGCUCCCUUGUCUACGCUGCCACCUGAUGGAUCACUAAUUGAAGUGACAAAGGGAGCUGAGGCCUCUCAUUAAUUGUCAACAUGGAACUUGAAUGUGGUCCUGGAACGAGAUAUUGGCGACAUGAAUGGCCUCCCUCUAUAGAAACAAGUGAUUCUAUGAAUUCCCCUCUUCCCAUGUUUUUUGCCAUUCCAUGGAAUGACACAUCGGGUAAAAUGGGCAGGUGUUUUGGGACUCAAAAGCCCCUUUUCUUAGUAUAUUAUAUAUAGUUGUCCUUAUUUUGUAAUUUUAUUAAUUUGCUUAGACAUAAUUUCUGUUAAGUCUAUUUGAUGAUCUAUAGCAGGUUUCUUCUGUAGUUGAUCAAGUUGAUACACUCUCCUUCUCAAGUAGCAUGGAGGGACCAUUUUCAUCAUUCAAGCCUGAGCUCUUGUCCAACAGUUUGUUCAAUUCAUAUAUUUAAAUGAUUUCUCUUGAGAUUUAUUUUAUGCAUGUUUGAGUUAUACCACCCCUGAGUUUCUAUUUUUUUAUUUUUUUUACUUUCUAAUGUUUGGUGUUAAUUUAAUUUUAUUGUGCAGGAUCUUAAAUGCAGAGAUAUUCUUGGGUGGUCAAAUAAUUAAGUUGAGCAGGGUGGUCAUCAUAUAAACUCUACUGUAUAUUAUGAAUAUUUUUUUUUUGGGUUAAUUUAAGAUUAGUAAUGGUAUGAAACAAUUAAAGUUAUGGAGAUUUUAGUCUCUCAUUUAUUUGAAGCCUUAACUUUCCAUUUGAUGCUUUUUCUCAUCCUCCUUCAAUGUGACUAUGCAAAUUUCUCAUGAUUUUUUUGAGCUUCAAACCUUUAAUGUGUAUUUCAUGUAUCAAGACAUCUUUUUGAGCAUUUUGUUAUAAUGUCUGUGAUAAUUUAUUUUACAAUUAUUUGAUUUGGUCUUAUGUAUCUAUUUUGUGGUGUAUUUGAGAUAAUUAAAAAAUAUAUAUAUUAACAUUUAAAUAUUGUAAUACUAAGGUACUAUGCUCCGGCAAGUAGGAGUUAUUUUUUUGUUGUUAAAUAUGAUAACAAACUGUUUAUUAUGAAUUUUUUUUUUUUGGGUUAUUUUUAUACUCAAUGGAAUAGACUUUUUAGUAAAAUAAGUAAGUACUAAUAUAGAAAUUAUGUAAAAUAAUAUAGUUUGCAUGAACGCGUUUUGUUUUGUGCCUAUGCUAUAAAAUAGAUCCCACUGUACGAACAACUCACCACCAUCACCGCUACCGGAACUUCAUACGCCGGUAGCGGAGUACGCAACCGAAUGGGAACCCCAAAACCCGAAUCAAUUUCCCGCCUUCGAGUAAUAUUACUGCUUUGCCGAAAUCGAUGGUAUUGUAAGAUUUUCUCGGAGUUCUUGGAAAAUCAACUCGAUGGCAUUGUAAGAUUUUCUUGGAGUUCUUGGAAAAUCAACUCGAUGGCAUUGUAAGAUUUUCUUGGAAUUUUUGAAGUUACUUUGGUAUUAUUAGAUGCAUAUGUAAGGAAAUCAAAGAUGGUAGUUUUCAAGAAUAUGAAAAGGAACUUCAAGAAAUCUUUAUUAUUUUAAAAAAAAAAUUCAAGAAUUUGCUUUAUUUCUGUUGGGGGUUUUCUUGAAUGAUUUCACAAGGAUUUUUUUAAAACAAGGUGUACUAUUUUACCCUUUCAACUUUCAAAGGUAUUGAAAGUGAAGUUGUGGAAUUGUUCUUGAAGGCCCACUGUACAAGAUUUUAGAAGUUUUGAUUCGAAGUAUUUGAAUAAAGGUAGCCAUUUUCCUCUACUUCGGUCUACAGAAUUGGAAAAUCAUGCCAGGUAAGAGAAUGGAAAUUUUACGAUUUUGUUAAUGUUUUGAGGAUUAGCAGAGGUGGGCUGUUGGGAAAAUCAUAGUUAAGUGAGUAACGAUGGGAGGUGGGACUUCCGUGCAGUUAUAAUCUUUUACGCUAGUUGCACCUGCAAAUUUGUGUGUUGCUUGCAAAAUAGGCAGUGAUCAGUUAGACUUAUCAUUUAACUUUUAUGUUACAUUCUUGCUGCUUCUGAUGGUGGCAGCCUAUGCUUUAUAUGAAAAUUGAUAUGAUUUUUUCUCCUUUUUAGUAUGAUGACCAUUCUAGUAUUAUAAUUUUCUUUCCAAAUAAAUACUCUUACACACAACUCUGAUUUCUUUUUUCCAUGAGAUUUACUUCCUAAUAGGAUUGCUUUUAAUGUUUGUUAUUGAUUUGUAGUAAUUUGAAUGAAGGCACUUGAUUGGACAGACUUCCAUAAAGGUCCAUACUGGCCACUUCCAUUUGCAUGAUCUAGACUUUCUGACUUCGAUUGUUUCUUAAAAAUGCAAAAAUGUGUCAUUUAAGAGAAGAGGGAAUUACAUGGUUCAUAUUUUCUGAUUUUGUUAAUGUUUUGUGGGCUGCUGAGAACAUCAUAGUUAAGUGACUUAGGAUUGCUUGCAUAAAAGGCAGUGACCGAUGAGCACUUCGAUGAAUUCUUUAUGUUCCUUUGUUAACUUCUUUUGGUGACGAGGGCAUAUGCUUUAUAUGAAAAUUGAUACUAUUGUUUAUCUUCUUUAGGAUGAUGCUCCAUUCUAGUAACAUAAUUUUUCCCCAAAGAAUAUCCAAAUAUCACAACUCUUAUUCCCUUUUUCCAUGAGAUUUACUCGACUGUUCUUCUUAUGUUUGUUUUUCUAAAAGCUCUGUACUCGUACUUUGAACUUGGAACCACUGUCACCAGAUGUCUGUUGCUAUUGGCAUUGGGACCUGCUAUGUGCCUGGUUCUUUCAUCUUCUGUUUAUGCUUCCUUUUUGUCUGGCUAUUUUAACUAUGGUUUCGUAUGCUUGCUUUACACCAGCUACAUCAAAAUACAGCCAUUAAGAUGAAUUGCAUACUUUCCAAGCAAGUUUUGGCUUUGAAGGAGAGGCUCUUGGAUCUAUUUCCGACGUUUCUUUAAUGGAAAUAGUUACUAUACUUGCGGGAAGCCAAAUGGAUAUCGUAAGUUUUUUCAGGAUGGCAAGUGUUUGUACUUUGUACCUUGAAAUUGAUGAUUGUAGACAAAAUGUUGGUACAACAGGUAUUCUGUAUAAGCAGCCUACUUGAUACAAGAGUCUACAAUUGUUUGCUAAUAAGGUAAUUUUCUUUGGGAUUUUUCUCUUUGGAGUCAUUGUUCGUCAUGUAUUUUACAACCAACCGGUUCGAAGGAAGCAAAUGCACUCCAAGUACUUCUAGUUUUCUCACAAUUGAAACAAAUAAAAUAUAUUGAUUUGUAUACUUUAUACUUUUAAAGUUGUACUCUGGCCUAACUGAUCUUUUGGUUUGCAUAUAUAGUCUUGGAAGUCUAAAUAGGGUCUUGCAUUCUCUGCAAGAGUCUUUCCUAAGAACUGCCCUCGUGCAUCCCAGUGUCUCCUUCAAAAUUGUUGAUAUUGAAGUGAGGAUGACCUACUUUGCACACGUGCUUCUCCUUCUCUGUUGCUGCUAUUGUUCAGUGGGUUCAAAUUGUGAAUGCAAGCGAUGGUUCAUUUAAGCUCUAAGGAUACAUCUCAGGUCCUGAUGUUACAGUGAAGGGGUGGAGACUGUAUUAGUUCGUGGAGGAUUUGGUGAUAGAGGUGUGGAGGAUAAAAUUCUUGCAGCCAAAAUAUGCCUGUGGAAACAGGAUUCCUUACCUGGGCACACAUCGAGGCAGGCAAAUCGCUGUUAUCGAGUAUGCUAGAUCCAUUCUUGGGUUGCAAGAUGCAAACAGUACAGAGUUUGAUCCCAACACUCACAAUCUUUGGGUAAUUUUUCUGUCGGGAGUUAAGUUCUGAUACUCCCCCUUCAUCAUGAAUUUCCCUCAUGAUCUUCAUGUGUUUGAGGUCUCAUUUUUGUAGCAGCUAUAUUAAUCUAUUGACCAAGUUCACAGGGUUCAAAAGCGCAUACAGGUGUACCAUGCGUCUUGGAUCAAGAAGAACGCAUUUCCAAGUCAAAGAUUCUAAAUCUGCAAAACUAUAAAUUUGGCGAUCGGAGCUUUAUAGAUGAGAGGCACCGUCAUAGAUAUGAGGUGAAUCUUGAUAUGGUGCAGCAAUUUGUAGAUGCUUGUCUUUCUUUCACUGGCAAAGAUGAAAGUGGUCGCUGCAUGGAGGCAGUGAUCAGGGAGGCUUUUCAUUGAAUUCUUAUGUUACUUGCUUUGCUGCUUCUGAUGCUACAUCAAAAUUCAAGAUACAGCCAUUAAGAUGAAUUGCAUACUUACCGAGCAAGUUUUGUCUUAAAAGGAGAGGCUCUGUUACUGACGUUUCUUUGUUGGAAAUUGUUUCUAAAACUCAUGCGGAACCAAAUGGAUAUUGGGUGGAUGUUGAUUUGAAGCCAUUCUAGAGGGCUUCUCCUAUUGAUAUUACCGAGUGGAUAAACUAUAUCUUUUUUCAGAUUUGGCAACAAGAGCUUUGUAGAUGAAAGGCACCGUUGUAGGGAUGCAUGCUAAAAACUUUUCCUGUGCUAUGUUGGUGAAUCUUGAAAUGGCGCAACUAUUUGAAGAUGCUGGCCUUUCUUUCACUGGCAAAGAUGAAAGUGGUCGCCGCAUACAGGUGAACCUUCUAUUUUUAUGUUUAUUUUUUGAUAAUUACAGGUGAACCUUUUAUAGAAUUGAAUUAUGAAGUCAUGAUAGAUAGUCUAGUGUUAUUGGUUUUAUUAUAAUUGAAUUAUGAAUCCAUUGAAUGGAAAGAUGUGGAGUUUUUCUUGUUGAAGGCAUUUGCAUAACCCCUAAAAAAUAAGUAGUUUAAUUAUAGUUGUGAUUUGUAUUAUUUUGAAUGAAGACACUCAAUUGGACAGUCUUCCGUAUACACCCUCAGUGGUCAUUUUCUUUUACAUGGUCUUAACUUUUUAUCUUCUUUGAAAUGAACAUGGUCUGGACUUUUUUAUUUAGAUUGUUUCCUAAAAGUUGAAAUUGUCAAGUAAGAGAAUGGGGAAUUAUAUGUUUUCUGAUCUUGUUGAUGUAGUUUGAGGAUAAAUAGAGAUGGGCUGCUGAGGAUAUGGCAAGUUGUGCUUUAAUGCAAUUUUAAUCGCCUAAACUAGUUGCACAAAAGGCAGUGCUCGGUGAAUCUCUUCAAUGAAUUCGUAUGUUCCUUUGUUCGCGAGGGCAUAUGCUUUAUAUGAAAAUUGAUAUACCUUUCUCCUCUUAGUAUGACACUACAUUCUAGUAUCCAGUUCUGUUAAAAGUGUUGAAGCGCUCGCUUUAAGCGAGAAACAAAGCGUCGCGACAUGAUUGUGUUUUAAUGCCUUGAAGCUAGGUAAUAAUGGAGAAGUGUGCGCUUCUGUCUCAAAAGCGAGAAAUGCGCUUUUUAUAAAAGCAAAAAAAGGCUCGCUUAUUAAAUGAGUUAAGCGCUAAUUAGUUUUUUUAAAAAUUUUUUUUAAAAAAAAUUCUGUAAAUAUACUUAUGCAUAUCUUUCCAAUUAUUUUCCCUCCUUGGUCGACUGUUGCGACUGUUGCUACAGCUUAAUUCUCUUCUCUUCUUCUCUUUUUGUUUCUCUGUAGUGCUGCAUAUGUAAACGUUGAUGUUGACGUUGACCUUUACGUAAACGUUGAUUUUGACGUUGACCUUUACGUAGACGUUGAUGUUCAUGUUCACAUUCACGUUCACAUUCAUGUAGACGUUGUUCACAUUGAUGUUGAUGUUCACGUUCACGUUAACGUUCACAGUCACGUUGACGUUGAUGUUCACGUUCACGUUUACAUUUAUGUGUACGUUGACGUUUACAUUGACGUUGAUGUUGACUUACAUUGACGUUUACGUUGACAUUUAUGUUGAUGUUGAUAUUUAUGUUUAUGUUUACGUUGACAUUCAGAUUGACGUUGAUGUUCACAUUUAUGUUAACAAUGACGUUUACGUUGACAUUGACGCUAACAUUGACAUUUACGAUUACCUUGACGUUUACGUUGACAUUCACGUUCAUGUUCACCUUAACGUUAACGUUCACAUUGAUGUUGACGUUGACGUUCACAUUGACAUUUACGUUCACGUUCAUGUUCACGUUUAUGUUGACGUUCACAUUAACGUUGACGUUGAUGUUGAUGUUGAUGUCAACGUUAACGUUGACGUUGAUGUUCAUAUUCACGUUCACGCUGACGUUUACAUUUUACGUUGACGUUCACCUUCACGUUGACGCUGACGUUGAUGUUCAAGUUGAUGUUCACGGUGAUGUUGAUUAGACGUUCACGUUGAUGUUGACUUUCGUGUUGAGCCCCGUAAAUGAACAAAUAGGUGGACUUUUUGGAAAUGUUAAAACAAAAGGUUUCCGCUCGCAUCUCGGAACAUGUCUCAAGUUGGAACCCUAUCAUCGACAAUGAGACUAACACACGAUGAGGAGUCAAAAGAAGGUAACCAAUUCCUGUCAUUUGUUUGAUUGUCUAAGAACUCAUUGAAGGGUCAUUUCAACUUGGAGUUUGGAACUUAUUGAAUUAUCGCUCAGCUAAAAAAAUGGAACUAUGUACGCAUCCCAAAAACUUAUUGGUAUGCCGAGAAACAUCCUAUGGAGAGAGAGAAAGAGGUGAAAUAUAUUAUGUUGCUCACUACUGUAAGCAGAGAUAUUUUGAUUAUUUCUUCUAGCUAAAGCUGAGUUGAUUACGUAUUGUUACUUAAGUACUUUAGCGCCAAUUUAUGGAGACAAAUAGACAAUAUAUGUGUCUGUUUCUUGCAUCUUCUGUUGUGUUUCCUUUUUGUCUAGGCAUUUUAUCUAUGGCUCUGAAUGCUUACUUUACACCAUCGACAUCAAAAUACAGCCAUUCAGGUGAUAUACAUGCUUUCCCAGCAAACUUCUGCUUAAAAGGAGGGCUCUGAGCUCUAUUUCAGACGUUUCUUUGUUAGAAAUUGUUACUAAACUCACAGGAGGCCAAAUGAAUAUCGUAAGGUUUUAAAGAUCCCAUUCUUUUGAGUUUUAUAUGGUAGUAUCCAUAAGGAUGAGUAUAAAACUACUAACCUGGUUUUUGUUCUUGCCAUUGUUUAUAGGACGGCAAGAGUUUGUACCUUGGAAUUGAUGAUUGUUGACAAAAUGUCUGUACAACAAGUAAUCUGUAUAAGACUACCUGCUAGUGAUAAGACUACCUGAUAGUGAUAGAUGAGUUGACUGUUGUUUGCUAAUAAGGAACUCCCUAGGAAUUUUUCUUUUUGCAGUCAUUGUUCCUGAUGCUUUACAAACAACUAGUUCGAAGGAAGAAAAUGCAUUCCAAGUACUUGUAAUUUUCCUCAAAUUCAAACAAGUAAAAAAUAUUAUUUACAUACUUAGUUUCUUAAGUUCUCUGUCCUGAUUGAUCUUUUGGUUUACAUGUAUAAUCUGAAAGCCCAAAGAGGGUCUUGCAUUCUCUGAAAGAGUCUCUGCUGGAAAUCGCCCUUGUGCAUCCCAAUGUCUCCUUAAAAAUUGUUGUUAUUGAAAGGUCCAUUUUUUAAACACCAAUUAAUUUAAGGAUAUUUCCAGGCUGGUUUCUUAGAUUUUUUAAAUUUGUAUGCACUGGAUGACCUGCUUUGCACAUGUGCUUCUACUUCUUUGUUGCCGCUAUUGGUCAGUGGGUUAGGGAUUCAUCUGAGUUCCCUUAACAAAUUGAAUGCAAGUGAUGGUUCAUUCAAGCUCUCUGGAUACAUCUAAGGUCCUAUGUUUACACUGUGAAGGUAUACAGGCCCAAAUUGAUGGAGAAGAGAUUUGAAAAGAAUCUUAAGAAUUAUUUUGUAUCAUGAGCUAUGCUCUCCUCUAGGGUUGAUGGGGACUCGCAAGAAUAAGUUCUAUGCUGGAAAUAGAGGUAAAACGGUUGAUCUUAUUAGGAAGACAAAGAGUAGAAGAAAUCAUUCAGCUUCCCAUUUUAACAAGGCAAGAAUAAGUUCUUUGCCAUGAGUGAGUCUUCAAGAAAGGCAGCAGUAAAUAACAGUAUUAAGAUUGUUCAUGUUGUGCCACUCAUGGCAGAGCAAUAAGGAGACUGCAUCAUUCUGCAGAAGCUAUCUGCUGGGAGCUUCCACAGCAGUAUGAUCAAUCUUCCGCCCCAAGUUGUGAUAACGGUGUAUUCUCUGAUGAAAGAUAAUGUUAUUAAAUUUCUUGGGAGGGUUAGGUACUAACUUGAUGUUUAUCUCUUUAGGCUAAGUAUGAAAAGGGAACUUAUUAACAUCUGGAAUAGCAAAUUACAAGCUCAAGGGGAGAGCACAGGUACACGCGAUGGGGUGUCGAAAGAAGGUUAACUAUUCCUGUCAUUUGUUCCUGACCUGAAUAAACCUGAAUUUUCCUGGUGCAUAAUUCGGUCAAUUUGCUUCAUUUCUUUCACUCUGCACCGUUUGUAAACCAUGAGGAUGUGGAGGUUUGUCUUUUAUGGAAGUUCAAAAAACCUUGUUUUGUUUCGAGCUGAUUAAACUGUUAUUGGGACGGCACCUCAGGUGGAUCCAUGAAAUCUUGGAAUUAAAUUUCCAUUUCAUGGUGUUUCUUCUCCAUCUCAUACGACUAACUGAUGCUUUAGCCACAAAGGUUUCAAUGCUGUUGAGCUAAUCACGUUUUGGCUUCACAAAGUUCAGUUCAUUUCCUGGUGUUUUUUCAGUCUCACAAGACUAUCUGAAUGCUCGCAGCCAUGACAGGUUUGUAAGCUAUUGAGUUGAUUCGUGUUUUGACUUGACAAAGUUCAGUUUCUUUCCCACCCUCACUGAACUACCCUUUUCGUGAUGAUACACAUAUACUCCGUCUUUUGAUAUUUUUACUACUCACUUUGCUCCGUUUUAAACACAAUGAAGAUUUGGAGGUUUUCAUAGCUGAAGACUGUUGCUUGGCACGAAAUUUCAGGUGGGUCUAUGAGAUUUUUGGAGAAGUUCCAUUUUUUGGUCUUUCUUCUCUGUCUCAUAGGCAAACUGAUGUUUGUAGCCAUGCUGGGUUUCAAAGCUUUUGAGCUAAUCGUGUUUGGGUGUCGCGAAGUUCAAAUUUUUUUGUUGUAAUUCUUUCCUUUGGUGAAACUACACAACCAUUUACUUUGCUUGUUCUUAUUACUAUCUCUUGUACGACUCAAAAAAACCAAUUUAGCAUGUUCUCUCUUGAGCAGAAAAACUGUUGCUCGGUAUGACACUUCAGGUGGGUAUAUGAGAUUUAGGAGAAAGUUCCAUUUCGUGGUGCAUCUUCUCUGUCUCGUUAGGCAGGCUAACUGAUGCUUGCAGCCAUAAAAGAUUUCAAAGCUUUUGAGUUGAUUCAUGUUCUGGCUUGGCAAAGUUCAGUUUCCUUUCACCCCUCCCCAAACCACCCUAUUCGUGAAAUUAUACAUGAUCUUCCUCUUUUCUUACUCUUAUUUUUCUCUCUGCUUUGUUUUAUUAACCAUGAGGAUGUUGAGGUUGUCUUCUAUGGAAGUUCAAUAAAACUCGUUUUCUCUCGAGCUGAAAAACUGUUGGUUGGCAUGGCACCUCAGGUGGGUCUAUGAGAUUUUGGAAUUAAAAUUCCAAUUCAUGGUGUUUCUUCUGACUUUGCACUGUGUCCUUGUUAUACUAGUCUGUGGAACUUGAUAAAAUUGCCAUUUACCAGAAGUUUCAUUGCAUAAACUUUGCAACAUUCACUAAAGUUAACCCUAACACUGUACAUGGAGUUGUAUGUUUUUGGUUAAAGCAGGAACUUAAAUCUGAUCCACAAGCAGCCAAGAUCUGUCACACUUGUUGCGCUUGUCAAAGGUCUCCUAGAGGCAUGGAAAUCUAAACCUCUCCAGGUAGAACCAAGGUAUAGCAGAAGUCAAAAAAUUUCAGAAAAAUCUUCAUUUACUUGAGGACAUUCUAGAGGAAGAUGAUCAUCUUAUGGAUUCCGAUAAACAGACGGAAAAUUAUGGUUCUGGCCUGCUAUCUUUUUGUCCAGUCUCCUCUGCUACCAGAUGCUUUGCUCGGGACCAGGUUUGAAGAUGGGAUUGAAUUUUCUACUAAACAGGAAACAUGGAACAUUAUCUUAAGAGGAUUGCUUGUUCCCAAAUCCUGCAAAGUUUGAUCUAAAUUGUUAUCUUCUUUUCAGAGAGGAGCCAGUAUAUCCAUGGAAUGUUUACAGUUGAGCUACUUCUGAAUUUCUAAUAAUAAGACUUCUUUUUUUGUUUCUUUUCUUUUUAAAAAAA